rnacentral:rRNA from 1 species
UACGAAGGGGGCUAGCGUUGCUCGGAAUCACUGGGCGUAAAGGGUGCGUAGGCGGGUCUUUAAGUCAGGGGUGAAAUCCUGGAGCUCAACUCCAGAACUGCCUUUGAUACUGGAGAGCUUGAGUCCGGAAGAGGUGAGUGGAACUCCGAGUGUAGAGGUGAAAAUUCGUAGAUAUUCGGAAGAACACCAGUGGCGAAGGCGGCUCACUGGUCCGGUACUGACGCUGAUGUGCGAAAGCGUGGGGAGCAAACAGG